rnacentral:rRNA from 1 species
CCUACGGGUGGCAGCAGUGAGGAAUAUUGGUCAAUGGACGCAAGCCUGAACCAGCCAUGCCGCGUGCAGGAUGACGGCCCUACGGGUUGUAAACUUCUUUUGUAAAGGGAUAAACUCAGACACGCGUGCCUUUCUGUAUGUACCUUACGAAUAAGGAUCGGCUAACUCCGUGCCAGCAGCCGCGGUAAUACGGAGGAUUCAAGCGUUAUCCGGAUUUAUUGGGUUUAAAGGGAGCGUAGGCGGUGGGUUAAGUUAGAUGUGAAAGCCCGAGGCUCAACCUUGGAAUUGCCUUUGAUACUGUUAGGCUAGAGAGCAGUUGAGGUAGGCGGAAUGUGUGGUGUAGCGGUGAAAUGCUUAGAGAUCACACAGAACACCGAUUGCGAAGGCAGCUUACUAAGCUGCGUCUGACGUUGAGGCACGAAAGCGUGGGGAGCAAACAGGAUUAGAUACCCGAGUAGUC